rnacentral:rRNA from 1 species
UGGGGAAUAUUGGACAAUGGGCGGAAGCCUGAUCCAGCAACGCCGCGUGAGGGAUGACGGCCUUCGGGUUGUAAACCUCUUUCAGUACCGACGAAGCGAAAGUGACGGUAGGUACAGAAGAAGGACCGGCCAACUACGUGCCAGCAGCCGCGGUAAUACGUAGGGUCCGAGCGUUGUCCGGAAUUAUUGGGCGUAAAGGGCUCGUAGGCGGUUUGUCGCGUCGGGAGUGAAAACAGCGGGCUUAACUCGUUGCUUGCUUUCGAUACGGGGCAGACUAGAGGUAUGCAGGGGAGAAUGGAAUUCCUGGUGUAGCGGUGAAAUGCGCAGAUAUCAGGAGGAACACCGGUGGCGAAGGCGGUUCUCUGGGCAUUACCUGACGCUGAGGAGCGAAAGUGUGGGGAGCGAACAGGAUUAGAUCCCUGGUAGUCCACACCGUAAACGUUGGGCGCUAGGUGUGGGGUCCUUUCCACGGAUUCCGUGCCGUAGCUAACGCA